rnacentral:lncRNA from 1 species
AGACAUUUCCAUUAAGUCCUGCAGUUUCCCCCAAGAAGCAUCCACUCAAACUUACAUUAAUAAACUAUGGAGCUUUUGUGGUGAGGUGGGCCAAAAGGCAGGGAACUUGGAAUCUGGGAGUGGCAAAGAGAAAUACGUAUUAUCCAUCCACUAACACACUGUCAAGAGCACAGGAAAAAAAAAACAACAACAAAAGAAUUUCUUACUUUUGUCAAUAACAUCAUUUAUCAGGGAGCACUAAAAAAUCACUGACUCGUUGCAGUUAAAGUUUUUUUUUUGUCGUUUUUUUGUUUUUUGUUUUUUUUUUUAAUCUAGUACGUUAGUCUAAAAAUAGAAUAAAAUAAAAGGCAGGAGGAAAAUCCCUUCUGGGAAGUAAUUAAAAUGAAUUCAUCAGAUCUGGCAGGGUUAUGAGAGAUUAAUAAAAUCUGAAAUAUUUAACUUGCUUCAUUUACAUGAAAAUUCACUAGCCAUUAUUUACUACGAACACGGACAAAAGUCAUCUAUAAAAGUACAGGGACAAUGUCAAAAGCUGAAAUGGGCACCCCAGCAUUGGGGAUGUUUUCGCUUGCUUUUAACUUAGAAAAGAUGAUUUUUGUAAAAAGUGACAUUUUUCUUAGAACAUCAAAAUAUCCUCAGACAAUAUUGAAGAUAAUCAGCAAGAAAAGGGGAAUAGGCGCACUGAGCUAUCUGUACCAGCAGACUACAUUGAUACGAAAAGAGAACAUUAAAAAAGAAGAAGCCGGAGAGAUGGAAAGGAGAGAACUGAGGGGACACACAAUGAAAGAGUGAAAACUUAUCCCCAAAACCCCAAGAAUAUUUAGGAACUAUGCAUCUGAAAGUGAAGAAGAAUAAUGAUUAAACCUUUAGUAGAAUUAGACUAACUACUUUACUGUGGUCUACUUGUACUGUCAUUUCAACGGGUGGGGGUGGUUAGAGGCUCAAAGGGUGGCACUGUAUACCCAUAGGGGCCUUCUAAGGUUUCAAAGGACUGAAUCAUCAUACCCAAAGGGCUACUCUUAUUCUUUCUAUCCUACAUAAGCAUUUUUUGCAUCUCCUCCCCCCCAAUACUUGUCUGGUUUUUUUUUUUUUUUUUACCUUAGUGAUGAAAGUAUUAGGGUACUUUGGCCAACAAUGUCAGAAAAUCCAGAUGGAGACAAAAAUCAAAUGUCCCUAGUCAAAGAAUGUGCCAUUUUGGGGGGCUGCAAAAUGCCUGAAGACCUACCUAUGUACAGUGAGAAUGAUUAAAACAAAUAGAAGUCUGUCAGGACCAGUCAUGUAAAAAGGUAGGCGUCACAGGCUGACCCAAAGACACAAAGGCAGAAGAACUGCAAGACUUUAGCAUUCAGUGGCUGCACAAAACCAGUUUAGGGUUCUGGUUUUAUUUUUGCUGUGUCCCUACAAGGUAAAGCCGUCAUUUCUGGGGAUUCCAAGAUGACUUUGUCCAAGAACAGCCAGUGAGAAUAAGAAAUGGAACCUC